rnacentral:rRNA from 1 species
UGAGGAGCUUGCUCUUCAAAUCGAGUGGCGAACGGGUGAGUAACGCGUGAGGAACCUGCCUCAAAGAGGGGGACAACAGUUGGAAACGACUGCUAAUACCGCAUAAGCCCACGGCUCGGCAUCGAGCAGAGGGAAAAGGAGCAAUCCGCUUUGAGAUGGCCUCGCGUCCGAUUAGCUAGUUGGUGAGGUAACGGCCCACCAAGGCGACGAUCGGUAGCCGGACUGAGAGGUUGAACGGCCACAUUGGGACUGAGACACGGCCCAGACUCC